AAGAAAAAGAAGUUAAAUCAGUCAAUGAAAGACUGGCUGAGGCAAAAACAUCCCAUGAAAAUGAGAUCCAAAAGAUGAGAUCUGCUUUAGUAAAGAAGGAAGAAGAACUGAAAUCAGUCAAUG